CGAGCAGCAUGGUCCUAUCGGAUUACUGCGGUUUCAAUGCAGAGUGCAGACUGACGUGCAGCAACACGGUAAGAAAAUGUAGCCUACAUACAUUACAGGGGUGAAAGUUUGUGUAUCACUGUAAACUGCUGGUCAUGUCUUCCGGGUACGGUGUACCGCUGCGUACCGGCUUACUUCUACCCCUGCUGUGGAGCAUGUAGCUUUGAAUUACCGUUUAGCUGGCAGGUAGCCAUGACCAAGCCAUUUGAGUUGUAGACCUGAUAAUUAACUCUCAAUUCUGCUCUCCCUUUACUCUGACCAAGUGUUCAGUGGAACAGAGAAGGAUAUCUGUGAAAGUUCAUCUAGGUCGUGGUAAAUCUUAGCUUCAAGCAGCCCAAGACACCACUUAUUGUCACAGUACAGUUCAGUCUUCUCUGUCCAAACACCCAAAGCCCAAUUCAUAACCUGAAUCUAGUGACCCCAAAGGCUCACAAUACAUGGUGUUAACAACUCCAGGAGGACUAAUAGUCUUGGUAACAAAGUUAGUGACUUUCAGUCAGUCAGGGGCAUCUUCAGGAACUUUAAGAACUUGCUUUUGUGGAUAAACUUUUAAGCCCCAAGGAGAGUUUGUUGAAGUAGGACAAAGACCUAAAGCUGGGCACUUGCUGAUAGAUUUAUGAGGAUAUUUUGGACCAAGAGGAUAUUUUAUUGGUCUAGACAUGACUUAAGCUCCAACUUUGGUGACUCUUCACUGGCUCCCAGUCUGUGUCCGCAUUGGAUUUAAAAUUCUUUUAAUCGUUUUUAAAGCCCUCAGCGGUCUCGCCCCUCCUUACCUGUCAGAGCUCUUGUAUCAUCACUCCCCAGCCAGAGCCUUAAGGUCCUCUGACCAGUUACUUUGAGCGUCCCGAAAACCAGACUCAAGUCUAGAGGUGACAGUGUUUUUUCAGCAGUUGCCCCUCGACUGUGGAACAAUUUACCUUGCCAUAUUAGAGCCUCUCAGACCUUAGAGUCUUUUAAAUCAUCCUGAAAGACCCACCUUUCUCCCUUACAUUUAAUAAAUGAGCACACUUGAAUCAUAGGCACUGUAGCUUUUAUUCUUUUGCUGUCUGUAUUUUAUUCUACUGUUUUCAAUUUUAUUUUUUAUUGUUAUCGAUCUAUUUAUUUACUUGUUUUAUUUAUUCCAUGUACAGCACUUUGUUUGACUGCUGUCUUUUAAAGGUCCUUUAUAAAUAAACUUUGACUUGACUUGACUAACCAAAUGUUAUAAAUCUCAGUCAAAUGUGCUAAACUUUUGAAAUACUGCAGAGGUUUCAUUGUAGACUUGUGCAGGUCUUUAAUAAUAACAGCAUCUACAACCUUGUCUGGUCCACUUUGUCUGUUUCUCAGGGAAAAACUCUCUGAAGCGGGUGAUCAGCUGUCAACUCAUCACAUCAGUCAAGAACGGCUUGAAAUGGAGGGCAAAGGUGGGACCAGGAAGGACUCUGCACCAACUCACCAUCUGUUCAAAAGCCUUUCGUGAAGAUGGAGCUUAUUAAUUAGGAUCCAACGGAGGGGUAUGUGAAUUUUCUUUUUCCAACGUUGGAGAAUGCUGUCCAAUUUACUCAACGUCUUCCUCCCUUAUAUGUCGUCUUCUUGAUCAACUGCACACAAGAGCACUCUGACACGCCCAUAAGCUUAUCCAACAUAUUGCUGUAAUACUGCCACCGGUAUCUGAAAAAAAGGGGGGGGAAAGGCAGAAGGAUGUGUGAAGAAAACAGCUUUAUUACUCCAGAGGCAACCGACCCGAGAACUGUAAAAUUGGUCACAGAAAUGGUAUUGAUCCACCUUUUCAAAGCGCUUUUGUGACUUGACUUUUAAUGCCGCUUUUAAAAAUGCCUCUUUCUUAGCCCCGUCUUUUCCUCCUUACUCUACCAAUAUACAUGGAUAUUAUCAUGCACAGUGUGAACCAAGAGCCAAAGAUUUUAUGACUGCAGGGUUAUUUGCAGAAGUCCUCCUGAGGUUGCAUCUGAGGAAAAUAAAUGUGUUUUUAUGGAGAUUAUUCAAAGAAAUAUUGGAAAAAUCCUCUGUUUGAACUGUAAAGGAGAACCAUACUCAAAGAUUAAAGUUUCUGUAAUCGAUCCCCAGUUUGACAAUCGUAAACACGCGUGCAUCUGCCUGUGCACAGAGCAGGGUGACCUUGAAGGAAACAGGGAGCAGGUCCUCAGACAGAUCCAGCCUAGACUGUAAUGGAAUGGGAGAUGAGGAGGAUGAGCCUCUGCGACCAUCUUGAGCAGACAAUGACUGAUUGUCCGAGGAAUGCUCCCUAACAUAAUGCAUUACCGCAACAUAAUUGACUUUAGUGCAAGACAAGCUACCCAAGGGCUAACAGUUUAGCUCCAAGGUUACAUUUUUGGUCUUAGAGGAAGUAUGAGAAGGUUUGUGUCAAGGUGGACAAAGGAGUAAAACACACAAAGAGAUCCAUUAUCCUUGACCUUGCAAGCAGGAGUGUGUAUUAAAAAGUGUGGCUUGCUACAUCCUCUGACAACCACGGAUGCAAUUUAAUGAAAUCCUGACCUCCCAGUGAUAAUUCAAGAGCUUUACCUGGAUAGUUUUUUUUUUUUCCUCUUGGAGUUCAAUCAACCUUUACAGGCCAGCUGAGAGACUUUUCUAGAUGAAGAGUCUAUGAAAAAGCAGAAUAAACAUAUGCAUGCAUACAUCUUCCUGCCAUAUGAUCAGGAAUUGUGCCGGUGGAAGCGCCGUGUGACAUUUAACGAGGCCCGCUGACUGAGCCUGGCUUCAGUCUCUGGCCAAAGACAGCAUAUUUAGUGUCAUCACCCAUCAAGUAUGUGUCAGUGCGCUCUGCCUCUCCCCCUGAUUGAUGGUCCCCCCUGGGUCUAUAUUGAACAGCGAGCCGUCUGACCAAUGUGUCACUAUCUGUGCGUAAUGACCCACCAGAAGGCUGCCGUUCCUGAACAGGGGGCUGGAAAUGAGCAACAAGUGUGCACCAACAAACAAGAUCAAUGCAGUUUGAGCUCAAACACAGUGUGCAAACAGAUGAUUUAAGGCUUUAAAUAUUUGUUUUGAGAUGAGGAAAAGCAUGCAGAUUGACAAUAAAGCAUCCUAAAAAUUGGAAUUUAAAAAAGGUCUCUAAAAGUUCAUGUAGCACAUUUCAGCAACAUUUUAAGUGCUUAGUAAAAGAUGUUUAAAGAAUCAUUAAGAGGUCAGGAAAACAUCUUGAGAAAAACAGUUAAAAAGUCAAGAGAAGUUGACAUGUAAAGUCAUUAAAAAAGCUUUAAAAAUCAAAGCGGGAUAGAAAUAACCUAAAAUGAAAUCAGCAAAGAGAGAGGGUUAAAAUAUGACAGUUUUAAAUCAGAGGCUUAAAAGCUGCAGAUUUGUAUAUUCCAAAGAAAAAUGGAUCUUGAAAUAAUUUGUUCAAGUAGUCUAAUAAAAAGCAGCUGUCAACAGGUGAGUCUUAAACCUGGACUCCAAAUAAGUCUUCUCCAAAUGUCAGCAGAUCUGACAUUUCCUCGCAGUUUGUUCCAGAUAUUUGGAGCAUGAAAGCUGAACACUGCCUCUCCCUGAUUGGCUGUGACUCUGGGAUAGAGAACAAACCUACACUAGAUGACCUGAACAGUCCAAGUAAUACAUAUUGAAAUAAAAGAUGUACAUGGAUGUAUUUUGAACCUAAACUACUCAGUGAUUUAUAAACCAGCAGCAGUAUUUUAAAAUUGAUUUUCUGAAAAGACCUGAGAACCUGUUCAGACACUGUCGCAGUAAUCAAGUCAACUAAAGAUACAUGCACAGACCUGUUUGUAAUCGUCUUUAUGUGGUUUUUAAAAUUCAGGUCUGAGUCUGUUAAUACACCUAGAUUUCUUUGCUUGGUGAGUUGUUCUCAACUGUUACACCUGAAGCUGCAGACUGACCUUUAAUCUGUCCCGUUUGGUUCCAAAACAACUACAUCAGUUUUAGCCUUGUUAAGAUAAGAGAUUAGAUAAACCUCUAUCCAUUCCACAGUGGGGAAAUUUGCAGUGAUACAGCAGCAAAGGAGCAGCAUAGCAAACAUAGAAGAAUGAGUACAUUCAUCAUGCACACAGUGCACAGAUAAUUAUAAAAAGGUAAUUUAGAUCUGUACGAGAAAUGUUAUAUACGAGUAAGAGACAGCAACUAAAAAAACUAAAACAGUUCUACACAGUAAACAAAACAGGAUUGGACAUGUUACUGCACAUUAUUUAAGUUAUUAUACAUUAGACAACUGUAGGUAUUUGUAAUUGAAAUAAAUAUCUGGCCUGUCAGUAUUGCACAUUGAGGUGGCAUUGAGUUAUUGUCUGUUAGCUGUGCUAGAAACCUGGACUACUGGGAGCAGGCUUGGUUAGUCUGACUGAAGCAGGAAGGAAGGAAGGACUUGUGGUAUCUCGUUGUCACACACCGCGGGUGAGGAAGCAUGUCACUAAAGGAGCUGCCUGGUGCUGUUACAGCGCUCUGCAGGGGGUGGGAAACAUUGUCCAUAAGAGAUGACAGCUUAGCCAUCAUCCACCUGUCCCCCAUCACCUCUACAGGGUCUAGAGGGCAGCCCAGGACAGAGCUAGCCUUCUUCACCAGUUUGUUGAGUCUGUUCCUGUCUGCAGUCGUGAUGCUGCUGCUCCAGAUGUGCUCCCUGCACUCAGUGAGGACCUCAGUUUUCUCAGUGGGUGAAGUCUGCUUUAGCCUUUCCUGUAUAGUGAGUUUGUGUUGUCAGUCCAGUCCAGUUUAUUCUUCAGGUAAACACCUGGGUACUUGUAAGAGUCCACAAUCUCAAUGUCUUUUCUCUGAAUGAUCACCGGUGGUGGUGGUGGUAAUGGUGGUGGCACACCCACCCGUGGCACUUAAUCAGAGUCUGCAUAGGGCCAUGGUCACUCAUCGAUGUUGUUGUGUACAAUGAUGUGUCAUCUGCAAACUGUGGUAACUUAUAUUGUUGUUUCUUAUAAUAUGAACUAAUGAGAGCAUGUAGAUGUUAAACAGAAGAGCCUUCCAGUAUAUUUUACAUUUUAUCAUUAAAUAAUCUGUUUUAGAAAAGCCUGCCACUCUGUCUAAGCCAUUUCUUCAGACAAGUACAGUGUAGUCAUAGUGUUAAUUUUGGCAGCUAUUUUAAUAAUUAUUCUUAUCCUUUAUACAAAGAUGCAAAACAUUUUUGGUCACAUUUUAGUCUUUUUUGCUCUUUAUAGUUUCAGUUGACUUUUAGUUGAGAAAAACUCAACACGGUGUCAUCAAGGCUGAGUCAAAAUAAGUUUUUGACAUCUUGAUCUUAAAAUAAUUCAGAUUUAAAACUAUAAAAGUGGGAAAAACACAAAGCCAAGGCACAGAAAAUGAACUGGCAACUCCAUGAAAGAGGUAUACUGUAUGUAAAGAGCGGUUCUAGUCGAAAAAGUGGAUGUAGGUGAAACACUAGUGAGGGAAGUAAAGGGAUAAGUUGGAGACCUUUUUAAAGUCAGGAUGUAGCUGCUGCAGAGGAGCAGGCAGACAGACUGAUCAGAUUAAAUGCUAAAUUAUGUGGUUGAGAGUCUACUCUGGAUUUGGGUUUCCAGUGGCUUUAAACAAUUAAAUACGAUAAUCAUAGCAAUAUAUGCAUGUUAGAAAUUGUUGCCAUCCAAACAGAAUGAGUCUGCCAGUUGCAUAUUUGACAGUUUAAGUGAAGUUUUUCUCUUCAUUUUACCCCAAAUUAGGUUUGAAGAAGAAAAAACCAAGUCAGAGAGAUUCAUCCUUUUAUUUAUUCAUGUUAAGUGAAAGCCAUAGAGCUUCUUAUGUGUAUUGAGCGUUUGAUAAAUGUGCACUUAAUGCCCGUUCUCAGUGAAGGUUAUUUAUCACUGCUGUUGUUUUUCAUUGUUAGCUGCAGCAGCUUAUGAAGAUGGACUCCAACUGCAGCCACUCAAAGUCCAAUAGCUUGUCCGGGUGGUAAAAUGUUUAUCGAUGGAAUAAUCUGUGCUGUGAUUCACGGUUUGUGUGUGUUUUUCUGUGGGACAAAGACAUUAUUUUUUCAGCAGCAGUUCCCAGUUAAAAAAAGAGCGAGUUUUCUCACAAAAGUAAUGUUUCGGCCUGAUUGCUACGCUUCACAAGUGGGCAGGCGGCUGAAAGCUUUAGCAGAAAAUAACACAGAGAAAUCUGUCUUCUGUAAAAUGAACUCGAAACUUAAAUCCUCAGGGGGUAAACCCAAUAUCUGUCGCAGGGAAACAAGGAAGAUCCCACAUGUGAUAGUGGAAUUUUAAAAAAAAUGAUGUUUUGAUUUUGUUUUUUGGCAGUUUGUCAAAAAAAAAUUGUCAAAAAUUUUGAUAUAAGCUGCACAACAUUACCAGUUUUGUUUAGUUUUUUUUUUUUUCUUUGGUCAAAAUCAACACUAAAGUCAGACUGUGAUUAAAAGAGCAGUAGAAAGCCUCUUUUCUCAGAUAUUCUUCCCGGAGCUUUCCCCAGAGAUCUGUCCUCCACAGGGGCCUCAAUAUUGAACAUGAAGGUACCCUCAGAGCUGUUUUCCACCUGUCGGGAUGUUUUUGUGUCUGCCGCAGGAAAGCAACCAUGUUUUCUUGAUUGUGGGAUUAAAUGGACGGGGCAGGGAUUGCAGGUUUGGAAUGGCACCAGCUCUCUUUCAGACAACCUGAACUUUGCGAUAUCAGUUCCAUAUAACAACGCCUGGUGUCUUGUUUAUUUAUAAGCUACUGAACUGAUGCAAUAAAACAUCCUGCAUGAUAUCAGAAUUCAAUCCACCAGGUAUGACAUGCAUUAUUUAUACUCACACGUAGAGCAAUGUAAUAAAUAAUGCAUAAUUUUUAUUAAACAUUCACAAUAUUUUUACAUUACCUUAACUACGUUAUGUAAUUUUCUAUAUGCCCCUGGCACAGACAAACCAUUGCAGUUUAACACAAAUAAACAGGCUUAAAUACUAGUGGUAGACCAUGACCUAAAUUAAGUCACUGUGUUUUCUGCCUACAACAAUCAAAUGAUUAAAAAUGAUACUGCUGAAUUUGGAUGAACAUUUUAAGAUUAUAUUAUAUUAUAACCUUCCUUGUUGUUGUUUCAAUAAAAUAUUACGAGAAGGGACCCCUGGAUUUCUGUCCAGCUGUCCAUACUAAAUGAAACAGAACAAUUAUUCAUGCACAUGAAAAGGCAAACAUAAUGAUCUUAUUUUUAGAUGUUUCUUAAUUAUGAAAUAGUAACACAUUGGCUCAUACUACAUAGGUCUCAGAAACAUUUUUUAACUGCAGGAUUCCUAUUCAGAACUACUCACCAGUGACUGUUUUAGAUUUAUGCUGUUAUUAGGAUGUUAACAUACAGAAAUCACAAUGGUGACUGAGGAAAUUAAGGCAAACAUUAAUAGAUAUGGUCAAUACUUAAUGUUAAUGUAGCUCUUCCUCUGCUGUCCUGGCAUGAGUGUAAGAGUGUGUAAGAGUCAUAGUAAAAGCACAGGGUUCAAACUCUUCCAUCAGCUGUCCUACCUUGUCCUACAGCAGCCGCACCAAUGAGGCUGCCUGCAGUGUCUGAUGAAAUUAUGUGUUUGAUUGUUUAUUAUCGGCCUUGUGAGCACUGGCAACAGGUAAUUAAUGAUUUACAAAAAUGUCCUUUAUCAGCCAAAUUAAUCAGUCAACCCAUUAAUUUGUCUUUAUUGAAACAAUCUGAAUGUAAUUUCAAUCGCUAAAAACUAGAUGCCUCUGUAAAUAUGGUAAACUCUUUGCAUCUUAUGAUCAAUAUUUUAUUAAUGAUUGAUCAAUAGAUUUUGAGCGAUUUGAGAGAGGUCUCUAUUUAAUAAACCCCUGGAUUAUGCUUUGACAUGUAUUGAUCCGUCCCACCUCUGAACCCAGCAGUUCUUUUUCUCAUGCUGUAUCUGCCACUGCAAACACGAGUCAAUGUCAAUGUAUUUCCAGGGUAUUCAGCGGUUAGUGAUUAAUGUCCUCUAGUCAGGACUGUAUUGUUUACAUUACAGUUAGCAGAUUGGAAAAUUAGUGAAAAAGCAAAGUAACGUUAGCCUCUCCAGACUGCCUGUAGAUUAAACAUUAUUUUUUGGGUUCAGAGUCAGGUGCAUUCAUCUUUUCCAGGUGAGUCCCAGUUUUACUGUAGAUAGAAAGUUACGGAGAUGCUUCACCUGUGCCCAAUAAAGAUAAAGUUUUUCCUGUAAUCUAUUUGCAUUAAAUGGGUCUCAAAUUUGACAUUAUAGCACCAUCAUGAAACAGACUUAGAAAAAGGAAAUUGGGCAAAUUUUGUUGGGUUUAUAAAAGAAGUAAUCCACUUUCAAAAUGCUUGUUUGUUGAUGGGAAUAAUUGAAAAACAACUUUUUUAUAUCUUUAACAAAAUCUUCUUUGUUUUAAGUGCCAUUGCAGAUUAUAAUUGAUCAGAUUUUCUAAACAGAUCUUAUAGUUAAAAAUUAGGUGCACAGUUUUGUUAUUGAAGUCCUCCUAUCAUUUUUUUUUCCUGAGUCUACAGACAGCAUUUUUUCGCAGGGAGACAACCCAGAGCUGCAACCCACGUUUUUUUGCACUGCUGUUUAAAGGCAUGUUUCCUGCCUCUAUCAUGGCCAUUAGCCAAUCAGAGCUCAGGAUUUGGGGGUCGCACCAGCAUGCCUCAUCAGUCCCCAGACAUUCCCUGAGGCAGCCAUGGAGAUUCAGACUGGUACAGCAGUUGAUGCCCUCAUUAUAUUUUAAUACAUCACUUGAAUACAUGAUGAUAUAAAGAUUCAAUGAGCACUUUUUUGCUGCUCUCGUGGCCUCACAGCGUGAGAGCAGAAAUGAAUUACAUCGCCACUAGUCAUGAAGAUUCAUGAUGAAUAUUUCAUCAGGAUGCCAGGGAAUUCUAACUAUUGCUGUUAAUGACAAAGCGUGCCAUCUGCCACAGUUACAGGUAAUUGGAGAACUCCAUCAUAAUCUGUUGUCAGACACUUGAACAGAGGAUGAAGCACAGACACUGCGAACAGACGCCAGACAAUACCCAAAUGUCUGCAUGUCUGUCCCCCCAAAAACAAGUGAUAACCUUACAACUAUGAGCAAUUUCAGUACUUAAAGCAAUGACUAAUGUGUUCAAGAGGAGCAUCUUUUUAUCACAUUUUAAUUGAGGGGGUUUUACAGCAUGAUGACACCAUAACCCUCCUGCAUUAAACUCUGUGGUUCACGUAUAAACGGGGGCGUUGUACAGUCCGAGGACAAAUUAGUGUCAGUGAAGUUGACUGAGCCAGAGCAGGUGCUCCUGGUGAAUGCGAAUUGUGAUCAUGCAUUUUAUUAUCAAAUAUUCAUGAAUCACUGCAUUACAGCUUACGUUGUAAGCCAGUGUCUAAUUGCCAAUUACACCCACAUGCAGGGAUGGUGAAAAGGAGACUCGCAGUAUAACAGAAAGUGCUGAGAUUCAUGUGUGAGGUCAUUUUUUAAUGUCUUUCUCAUCUACAGCUGUGAAGAUAAUAAACAUCCCUGAAAGGCCAUUUUUGAAGGACAGUUAGAGGAUCUCUUUGGUAAAAGAUAAAAUGACCUCAUGAUGAAUUUAACAGAGAGCUAACAUUCAUCCUGUUAAAAUCAUCUUCAGUGGAGAUAAAAGGAUUUGUCAUCUGUCCUGACAUCUUAAGAGUCUGAUAUAACAAGGAAAACUCAUGUCUCUUUCUUUUAGAGCAACCUUUUAUUAUGUGUAUUUUCCUUUUCCUGAAGCAUCUGAACACUUAUUUCUUGGUUCCCAUUUCCUCUGUUUAAAAAUAAAUGUUACAGUAUUGGAAUUUUUUACAUUAGAAUACGAAAUCUGGAGAUUAUGGUUUUAGGUGGCCAAUUUCCCAAUCCCAUACUCUCCAUUUGAACUUCAUAUUCAGUGAUUAUCCACAUAAUGUGUCAUUUAGGGUGAAAUCUUGCAAUAUUUAUACAUUAUUUUACAUUAAUAUUUCCUAAGUUUCAACUUUUUAUGAGUUUUUGUUGGUAAACAAUAAAUUUUUCAUUUAAUCCAAAUACAUGUUUAAUCUUAAGCAGUGGAAGUUUCUCAACUCAUUUGAAAAAUUAACAUAAUUUAAAGCUCCUGUGGGGAGUUUUUAGCUCAAAAUGAAACAGACAGUAAUUCAAACUGAAACCUCUUUAUGAGCCACAAAAGUAAAAUAUACCAAAGAUAAGGACAUUGCCUAACCCCCAAUUUCCCCCGCAUCUGGAGUGGCUACGAAAAGGCCGUAUCCGCCCAUCGUAACCAUUCAAGUAAAUUUUUUCAAGCCGCCAGUGCAUGGUGGAUAAAAUUCAGCACAGAUUAACCCAUGCUGGAAAGGAAGUCGGCACAGACACAAAAUAAAACAUCCGUCUUCUUUUCAAAAUAAAACACUCAAUUUUUUAAGGCGGAUCGUAUUUCACAUCAUGCGAACAGGCGGAGACGAACAAGUGAAAGGUUUUUAGACAGCAUUUCACCCAGGUGACACCAUGGAUGAGAAGAUGCUGAUUUUAGAAGUCUAGAGGUGGAUUUCCUCCUCUGGAAGGACACAAUCUACUGCUUAUAGUUUGCCUCGUUAUUGCGCGAUUGCACGUGAAUCCAUGGGUUCUUGUGAGUUCCGCUGUCUGUAAUCUGCCAAGAAAUUCGUCUCACUGACAGAUCUGGUAGGAAUUGGUGUACGGUGAAAAUUGCCACCCUUCCGGAUCGGCGCCGUUCUGGAUGCAGAGGAAAUCCUGGGUAAAUCUAUACAGUUAUGAUUAGAGACGGUUAUUGAUGUCAUCUGGUGAGUGUAAGUGAAGCACUUAAAAACCCAGCAGACAUGAAAUACCUUUGUUUAUUGUUGCUGCAAGUUUAGCACAGAGUACGACGUAAUUGUUACAAAAAAGCAGGGGGUGUCAGAAAACAUACAUGAAAAAUCAAGAUUAAUAUGGAUAUGAAAAGUACUUCUUUUGUCUGAAUUUAAUGUGCUUUUUUGUCCCUUUUGACACACUGUAGUUCAGCCCCUGCAGCAUCUUUCUCCUCCUUUUGACACUGUGAAAAAAAUUAAUGACCCUACUAUGUUUUGUAUGGCAGUGUUUUAGGUUGUGUUAAUCAACACAGAUCUGGAGAUUAAAUAAAAUCAAGACAUGAAUCCUCUUGUCUGAUGGUAUACAAGGGUAUGCCCCAAGGUUUAGUACUAGGCCCUUUUUUAUUUUCCAUCUAUGUCGAUAACCUGUGUGAUAACAUGCCAAAUGCCUUUCAUCAUUUUUAUGCAGAUGACACCAUUACUUAUUGCUCUUCAUCAUCUUUUUCACAAACAUUUGAAUCUCUUGUCAGCUUUGAAUGAUAUUCAGUAUUGUCUGCAAAAACUGAGAUUGGUGUUAAAUGCAGAUAAAACUAAGGCUGUGUUAAUCUCCAAUUCUAGUUAGUUACUUGUCACAAGCCAUAAGAACUUGUUUUGGCUCACCCAUUACUGUGACCUGUGUGCUCGUUCUGGCUGGCCAGAAGUUAUUUUUUAACUUGUCUGGUUUCAGGCCACACUGGUGAAGCGGUAGUCUUAGAGUUAAGAUAAUAAAAAAAGCACAUUUCAUAUAUUUGAUUCCCAAAUCAAGAUACUGCUCAGAACUGUUGUACAUGUUAGUGAAAUUAAAAAACGUUUAUGAAAUGCAAAAAUAAUGGUACUUAGACAUAGGACUGAAAAUGCAAUUAUAUUGUGAUUGCUUAUUAAAAUCCAGCGAUCAAUCAUGCUUAAAACGUUUAAUUGCUUGGCAGACCAAGUCUUAUGUUCCUCUGUAAUGAAGGUGGUAUCAUCUGGAGAUUUUCUCCUGAAUUUUGAGUUUAUUCUGAUCAAAAUUCUGUUUUUUUUGCCCAACUGUGUUCCCCCUUGAACACCAGUUCAGCUAUUAUGAAAUGCGCUCCGUCUUCAGCAAGAAUAAACAGAAGAUGCUGAGGUGUCUGCCUCUUGUCCAUGUGAGCCUGCUAUUAUUCUGAUCACAUAAAAGCUGACAGUGCUGCGACCUCAUACUUUCUGAAAGGAAUAGCUUCUUUAGUCAAUUACAAAAGCAAUCAAUAAUCCCAAAUGAAUCUUUGACGGUAAGCUGUCCUGGUGUGGGUGCCAUUGAUGAGAUUUUUGUAACUUCUUUCUGCACUGUUAGUUUUAUAGAUUGCAUUUGGCAUGCUGAGAAAAUGCUGUUCCACUUUGUUUAUCUUGAGAAUUACCUGUGUUACCCUGGGAUAAACAUGAUUCCCAUUACAAGUAGAUAGUUAGAUAUCUCUAACAUUUACAAGUAAUGUAAAAAAUUGAGACACGAGACAUCUAUGAAUAUAUAUCAACAUAAAUAUCAAGUUACUGUGUGUUUCUCUGUGGGCUUUAUAUUAAUGUCUACAACGUGGGCUUAUCUGCAGUAAAUUCCUGGUAAUAAAGGAUUUUUAAACUUAAAACACACGGCUCUCCACUUACAGACAUUUUAUCCAUUUGGAAACGUACUCCCCAUGGAAAAGCUCCACAAUGAUAAAAGCUUUCACAGGAAUAUUUAGUCAAAGGUGCGGCAAUAAAAAAAAGGUAAUAAAAAUGUCAAUGCAGAGCUAGGAUCCUUUUUCUUUUUUAUCAUAACAGGACUCAGUAUUUCUCUUCUCUUCUUUGUCAGACUCUGGGUAGUUUCCUCAGGUAAACAUAAACAGCCGACUGACAGAUUGUCCUCACUGGUGCAGAUCCACAGCACGUCUCUGUGGUUAAAAAAAAGGGGGAAAAAAAGUUUUCCACUUGUUAUUUCUUUCUUUUCAACAUUGUUUUUUUGCCCUCUGGUCAUUUUUCAUGAAAGAUCAGCAGGUUUCACUAGUGCUCACUCUGGGCGCCUGGCUCUCUGCUGCUGGCUUUGAGAUAUGCUGCCAUUUUUUUGUGGUUUUUAUCCUGAACUUGACAAUUAUUAGGAUAUUGUUAUGAAACUGUUUAGGAUUACUGUCAAUCAAAUCCAAAGAAAUAUCCAGCUAUUUCAAUGUGAAAGACAUGUCCAAAUGCCUUUCUUGUAUUUCCGCAGCCCUAUAUUUUGCUUGCUUAUUUAUUCAGUAGAUUUUACAAAAGAGCCCCCUGUACUGUCACCUCCUAACCUGUUGAUUCGCUCUUCUUUUCAGGUUCUACCUCAUUUUGUCUGUUUUAUUGACUUGUGCAAACAGUGUGCAGUAUUUCACAUAUGGAGUCAUGUAUACGCAGUACCUAAAAUCUGAUCUACAAGACACAUCAUUUAGUUCAGCUGCGUACAAGGUAUUAAAUGAAAAACCAUAAAACUGAUAUUGGAUAACCCGUUUUCUACAUCAGCAUUCAGUGUCAUUUGCAGAGGAUCUUGUGUUUGGCUUUAAAUAUUCUCAGAUUUCUCAACAGAGUUUGAUUAAAAACUGUCAGUUCAUUCAAUCUGAAGUGCUAAGGGUUAUGAAAUAGUUGGGCACCCUACAUAAAGACUGUGUGAAAAUGGUAGAUUAAAAUUUAAUUAGACUGGUCAAACCAAUGAAUAGUAGUCUGGCUCACAUCUAACACAUGCAAUACAUAUAUCACACUGGCAUCUUUCUAUAUUGAACAUAUUAGAGUUCAACAAGGAUACUAAGACCAGGAAAGAGACAAGUGUAGAAAUAAAGGCAAUAUUAGGUGGUUUGUAAUACAGUUGAAUCCACUUUAAUUUGGAAAGCACAUUUCAUACAAACUUUACUUCAAAUUUCUUAACAGAGAGACCAAACAUUAAUCCACCAUGAGCCCGCUCUCAACAGCAGUGAAAUGUAGGAAUCUCAAGCAGAGUUAGAACUAUUGAUGUAUGGUUAGCAAGGAUCACAUAUCUGGACUGUAUCUAGUUAUGUGUUUUAACUUAUAGUAGGUGUAAUUAUUUAACGUUGUAAAAUGUGAAAUAAUUGAGUUUAAACGUGCAAACAAUGUUACAUUGGUUUGCAGAGAGUGGCUAACACUAGCAGAGCUAGCACCACCAACCCUUUAGUCCAAAUCCAGAUUUUGGAUAUCUUUCCAGAUCAAAAUACUGCCAAACUAUGCUGAGCUGCAAGCUGCGUUUUAUGUGCCUAUUUGUCAAGUAACAGGUAACUUGACAGAUUAAACCUUUUUUUUCACUUUAUGUAAUUUGAUCUUUUCAGUAAAGUUAGAAACAGAUAUGUGAACCAUCAGCUCAGACUUCUUACUGUACCUGUGUAGCCUCAUUCAUCCUAGAAUGGGAGGUGGUUCUAAUUCUUAACCUUUAGAUGCCUUUAAAAUUAUGUAAUUCAAUUUUUGGUUUUUGUAUUCAUGCAUCCGAUGUUCUGUUUGUAUGGCCCCCCUGGAUUCACUGACAGUCAGGCCCUGAAUUUAGAGGAGUUUUCCUCCAUCUUCUGCUGAAUGUUUCAAUCUUGACUCCCUGGUUGUCAGCUGCUGUGGUUUUGAUGUCUCUCACCUCGCUGCUUUCAGGUCUGCCGCCUCUGUAGACGACUCUCAGUUCUCCCGAGAGGCUUAAUUUGGUGAUGAUACGAUGGAUGUCUGACUGAGGCACUCUCCACCAGUGCCAGCCUGCAGUCUGGGCUGAACUUCCCCCCCGCUGGAUGUCCAACAUUGCUCCUUUAUCCCCUAGGAUGCAUCUUCACCUUCUACUUAAUGUUCCAACUGAGAGGCCAUCAAUUGUGAUUCAGCCUCCCUCUGAGCUCUCUGAAUAUUAACAAGUUUGGUGAGUGGAGUUUGAAAGUGAUAAGCAGAAAAUGGGACUGUAUUUUAAUACUUUAAUUUGAGGAUUUAGUUCUUCAGUUCUUACUGUUUGAACAAAGGGUGUUCCUUAUAAUUGGUGAGAUGUAUUUCUAGCUCACUUUGAGGGUGAUGAACAAUUUAUUGACAGCACUAGGAUAUGGCUAAUAUGGUGCAAAAAGUCGUGCAUAUAUACUGGAUAUUUAUGGUAUAUGCAAACUAAACACAAGCAGUACAUUCAACAAGCUGCAUUAAGGCAGUUUAAUGAAUCCUUCGCAAAGAAAAGCAAAUAUUCAGCAUGUGGUCCCAUGAUUUUUGAGACUGUGUAAAAAUGAUUAAAGACGCAGAAUCUAAGCCAUCUCAUAUCCAUUGAGUUGUGGCAGAUCCGGGGGAGAACAAAGCCUGUUGUUCAUGUUUUCAGAAGUCGGCUCGUCUCAGCACAGAGCCAGCAGGAGGCUCAGGUGCAGCAGAGAGAGACAAUCCCUUCAUAUUUGGAGGGAGAAUAGACCUGUCAGUCCUGUAGAAAAACCAUUGAAGAACCAACCAGUGGAACCACAUGAAGCCCUCUCAACACACGCCACACUUAUCUGCUGUGAACCAGUGUGGAAAGAUGCAGACGAAGUGCAUCAUCAUGCAUGAGGCGGGCGUUCACAAUGGGAAAUGUUUGUUUUUGUUAUUCUGAUGAGUUUCUGGGAUGUUGAUUUGGGAGGAUCACAUUCAACGUUUAUCAAAUUUCAAUGACUCACACAGCUGCUUCUGAGCACAAAAUGUUCGUGUUUAUUUGUUUCAGUAUUAUUUCAUUAAGUAUCCUGUCUGUAACCCUCCCAUCAAGUUGCCUCAUUAUCAAGCACAAGAUUUCAUUUAUCAGAUUUCCACUUCCCCCCUUUUUCAUUUUUAUGAGAUAGAGAGGCUUCAAUGGCUUCCUUUGAAAAAACUGCUUUGCAUGGAAAACCGUAAAUAUCCUCUCAAUCUUCAAGUGCCUGUCUCUUGAAGUGAGUAUCGAGGUACUUAAAAUAUAUCACUUGAUGCAGCUGAUGCUUAAGUCUGGCAAUACUUGACUCAUGUCUGGAUGGAAGUUUGCUCUUAUUAAAGGGCUGCAAGUUAAAAGUAAAUAACUGUAAUGCUGUCUAAAGGAGUUUUCAUGUUGCUGUCAAGUCACUGUUAAUGAAAAGUCAUUUUGUAUUAGGCUUCAGCUCAUCCCAAAAACUGAUUUUAGUU